UACAGAGGUCCCAAGCGUUGUUCGGAUUCACUGGGCGUAAAGGGUGCGUAGGUGGCAAGGUAAGUUCGAUGUGAAAUCCCCGGGCUCAACCCGGGAACUGCAUUGAAUACUCUCUUGCUCGAGGGUCGGAGGGGAGACUGGAAUUCCCGGUGUAGCAGUGAAAUGCGUAGAUAUCGAGAGGAACACCAGUGGCGAAGGCGAGUCUCUGGACGACACCUGACACUGAGGCACGAAAGCUAGGGGAGCAAACAGG
rnacentral:rRNA from 1 species